GAGGCAAGUUGGGAACGCCGUUACCGCUGCCGUCUCCGCCUCGCGGUGGCUGAUGGGACUCUACUGACGGCUCACUACUUGCAAGAGCAGCGUGGUCGAGCUAGGAUCGUCAGAGGAGGAGGAGAAAUUCCACGCGGGCGUCUCAAAACGCCGGAUUUACCUGCUUUUGAAAUCUCUUUAAUCAGGACCAGUCACCUCACAGAGCCUUGGACUACGAGAACUGGAAUCUCAAAGUGUUAAACCUUGUAUACUUCAUCAUUCUGGGUACAAGUCUAAGAACUGUCAAAUUUAAAAAUUGCGCGCCGUUCCAGGGUGUAAAUACAAAUGACAGAAACCAUGAACCAAACUUAUGUCUGUUACAGCAUUAGUGCAGACUAGAAAUCUGGUCAGCGGACAGUGAUCUGUGUUAACAGUAGCAAUAAAGCAAGUGUUUUUGUGUGUUAGUUCCCCGGUUUGACACCGCAAGUAGCACCCCACGUUUGCGGCACCAAGGUUGUCUUGGAACAGCUCCUUGCUCCCAAGACUUAACAAGAUUUCGUGUGAGAGACCUGUUGUUAUCGCCCGUCUGUGGAACAUCAUUAACAACGGCCACUACGACGAGCAAUCCAUUAGCUACGUUGACUCAACUUAUCGGCUCUUGUGAGACUAUGGAGGCCACGUACUGCAUGGGAACGGAUGUAGACGUCUGCCGCAUGUUCGAUCAGUACCUCUACAAGGUGAGUGUGCAGUGUUACUUAUUGGCACGUGCAGCGUAAGCAACGCAGAUAUGCAACAAUAACAAACGUGUAAGCCAUUCUGACUGCUCCUUACCGUGUAUCAUCACUGAGAUAAGAGCGGCUGGUGAGUUUGCGUAGUCUGUGAUAACCAGUCUCUCCGGCUUGGUGA